GGUAUGAAGCUCUGGACGGAGGAAGAAGACUUUUCAGCCUGGCUAGUUCAUUGUAAAGCUCUGAAAGAGCCCAGAGAACUCGGGGCCUGAAGGGUCUGGCCACCUGUCCUCACUGAGCAGCCGAGAUGGGAAGAUGAAGACAGACCCAGCCGUCUCUAACCCCACACUCAGAAGGGCUUCCACUGCAGGAAAACUAAUAAGGCUGGCAUUUUAUGAUCCCCCACCUUCGAUGACAACA
rnacentral:lncRNA from 1 species